GUGUCAGCAGCCGCGGUAAUACGUAUGCAGCAAGCGUUGUUCGGAGUUACUGGGCGUAAAGGGUGUGUAGGCGGUUAUUUAAGUUUGGUGUGAAAUCUCCCGGCUCAACCGGGAGGGUGCGCCGAAUACUGAAUGACUUGGAGUGCGGGAGAGGAAAGUGGAAUUCCUGGUGUAGCGGUGAAAUGCGUAGAUAUCAGGAGGAACACCGGUGGUGUAGACGGCUUUCUGGACCGUAACUGACGCUGAGACACGAAAGCGUGGGUAGCAAACAGGAUUAGAUACCCCGGUAGUCC
rnacentral:rRNA from 1 species